rnacentral:rRNA from 1 species
AGAGCGAACGCUGGCGGCAGGCCUAAUACAUGCAAGUCGAACGCACCUUCGGGUGAGUGGCGGACGGGUGAGUAACACGUGGGAACGUGCCCUUUGGUUCGGAAUAAUCCUGGGAAACCUGGCCUAAUACCGGAUGUGCCCUUCGGGGGAAAGAUUUAUCGCCAUUGGAGCGGCCCGCGUCUGAUUAGCUAGUUGGUGGGGUAAAGGCCCACCAAGGCGACGAUCAGUAGCUGGUCUGAGAGGAUGAUCAGCCACACUGGGACUGAGACACGGCCCAGACUCCUACGGGAGGCAGCAGUAGGGAAUCUUGCGCAAUGGGCGAAAGCCUGACGCAGCCAUGCCGCGUGAAUGAUGAAGGUCUUAGGAUUGUAAAAUUCUUUCAGCGGGAAGAUAAUGACUGUACCCGCAGAAGAAGCUCCGGCUAACUUCGUGCCAGCAGCCGC